rnacentral:rRNA from 1 species
GCACNUGNGGUGACACGNCACUCUCUCNUNUUUUGCAAGUCNCACGAUGAAGCCCUUCGGGGUGGAUUAGUGGCGAACGGGUGAGUAACACGUGGGCAAUCUGCCCUUCACUCUGGGACAAGCCCUGGAAACGGGGUCUAAUACCGGAUAAUACUCCUGCCUGCAUGGGUGGGGGUUGAAAGCUCCGGCGGUGAAGGAUGAGCCCGCGGCCUAUCAGCUUGUUGGUGGGGUAAUGGCCCACCAAGGCGACGACGGGUAGCCGGCCUGAGAGGGCGACCGGCCACACUGGGACUGAGACACGGCCCAGACUCCUACGGGAGGCAGCAGUGGGGAAUAUUGCACAAUGGGCGAAAGCCUGAUGCAGCGACGCCGCGUGAGGGAUGACGGCCUUCGGGUUGUAAACCUCUUUCAGCAGGGAAGAAGCGAAAGUGACGGUACCUGCAGAAGAAGCGCCGGCUAACUACGUGCCAGCAGCCGCGGUAAUACGUAGGGCGCAAGCGUUGUCCGGAAUUAUUGGGCGUAAAGAGCUCGUAGGCGGCUUGUCACGUCGGAUGUGAAAGCCCGAGGCUUAACCUCGGGUCUGCAUUCNAUACGGGCUAGCUAGAGUGUGGUAGGGGAGAUCGGAAUUCCUGGUGUAGCGGUGAAAUGCGCAGAUAUCAGGAGGANCACCGGUGGCGAAGGCGGAUCUCUGGGCCAUUACUGACGCUGAGGANCAAAGCGUGGGGAGCGAACAGGAUUAGAUACCCUUGUUAGUCCAGNCCGUAAACGUUGGGANCUAGGUGUUGGCGACAUUUUCACGUCUUCNGUGCCCCAACUAACGCAUUAANUUCCCCGCCUGGGANUNCCGCCCCAAGGUNAAACUCAAGGAAUUACGGGGNCCCCCAACCGGGGAACUUUUGCUUAUUNAACCACCCGAAAACCUACCAGGUUGNAUNCCGAANUUAAAAANNNCCCCUUGGCGGUNAAGGGNGNUGNUUUUCCUNUUUCGAAAUGGUAAANCCAANCCACCUUUUUUUCCNUCCCUGGGNGGACAGAACCCGNNANUGNNNGGGNNAAANUUCCUUUGGUCCUCUNNNNGCAUNNUNCGGGAA